CCUACGGUGUGCUGCAGUGAGGAAUAUUGGUCAAUGGGCGCUAGCCUGAACCAGCCAAGUAGCGUGAAGGAUGACUGCCCUAUGGGUUGUCAACUUCUUUUAUAUGGGAAUAAAGUGCAGUAUGUAUACUGCUUUUCAUGUACAUUAUGAAUAAGGAUCGGCUAACUCCGUGCCAGCAGCCGCGGUAAUACGGAGGAGCCGAGCGUUAUCCGGAUUUAUUGGGUUUAAAGGGAGCGUAGGCGGGUUUUUAAGUCAGGUGGGAAAGUUUGCGGCUCAACCGUAAAAUUGCAGUUGAUACUGGCAGCCUUGAGUACACUAGAGGUAGGCGGAAUUCGUGGUGUAGCGGUGAAAUGCUUAGAUAUCACGAAGAACUCCGAUUGCGAAGGCAGCCUGCUGGACUGUAACUGACGCUGAUGCUCGAAAGUGUGGGUAUCAAACAGGAUUAGAUACCCUUGUAGUC
rnacentral:rRNA from 1 species